CGCCCAGCUCGUUGUGAAGUUCAAAACAUUGACUUGACUGUAAGGUCUUGAGGACUGCCGAACCCAGCUCAACAGGAUUUUCUCACUGUUGGUCUGCUGCAAAUCUGACAUGAUAUUCUUCAUGACAUCCUUCACCUGCCAAUGCAAGAUAAUGCUCCACAGCAGCCCCAGUGUCAGCUUGUGAUUUCCAUCAACGAUGUCAGUUCCCCCAAUAUUCACCAAUUCCACGUUGUUUUGAUGCAAGACUUGCAGUACUCGGUUGACAUUAUUUAAGGCAUGUACUCUUGUGGAACCUCGUUCUUUAGGCAGAGGUUUCCCUGUCAGACCUUCCAAAAGGUCCAAAAGCUUCCUUCCAUCUUUCAGAUCUGUGAACAUGUCCUUGACUGGGGGUGUCCCACUCUUGGAAAACCGAGCAUUUAUCCAUUUCGUAAACGUCUUUUUCUGUACGUCAUUGUGUUCAUCGGAGCGGGACUUGAUGAUGUCUCCGAACUCCCCGUGCGGCGCGGCGGCCCCCUCCUCGGGCGGGGCGACGCGGGCCAUGCCGCCGCGCUGCGGCUCCGCUGCCGACGCCGCUAAGCCCCCCGCCCGGGGGCUCCCAUCGGUCUCGACUCAGCACCGCUCGGACGCGGCGGCGGGAGCGGCCCCGCUUCUCCCCACACGGCUCCUCCCGUCCCGAGGCGCCGCCGAAGCCACAACUUUCCUGCGAGCCGCCGCCCCUCCUCCGGCCCGCGCGACUCCUCCCCCGGCCCCCUUUGUUAGCCGGGCAACGCGGCGGCUGCGGGAGAGCGCCCAGGGCUCGCUCCGAGGGGCGGGGCGGCGCCCGCCGCGGGACACGGCCGGGAC
rnacentral:lncRNA from 1 species